rnacentral:rRNA from 1 species
CCUACGGGGGGCUGCAGUGGGGAAUAUUGGACAAUGGGGGGAACCCUGAUCCAGCCAUGCCGCGUGUGUGAAGAAGGCCCUCGGGUUGUAAAGCACUUUCAGUGAGGAAGAACGCCUGGUGGUUAAUACCCAUCAGGAAAGACAUCACUCACAGAAGAAGCACCGGCUAACUCCGUGCCAGCAGCCGCGGUAAUACGGAGGGUGCGAGCGUUAAUCGGAAUUACUGGGCGUAAAGCGCGCGUAGGUGGCUUGAUAAGCCGGUUGUGAAAGCCCCGGGCUCAACCUGGGAACGGCAUCCGGAACUGUCAAGCUAGAGUGCAGGAGAGGAAGGUAGAAUCCCCGGUGUAGCGGUGAAAUGCGUAGAGAUCGGGAGGAAUACCAGUGGCGAAGGCGGCCUUCUGGACUGACACUGACACUGAGGUGCGAAAGCGUGGGUAGCAAACAGGAUUAGAUACCCUGGUAGUC